rfam:Cryptococcus bestiolae CBS 10118 unplaced genomic scaffold supercont1.1, whole genome shotgun sequence.
AUCUACGGCCAUUGAAUCUCGAAAGCACUGCAUCCCGUUAGCUCUGCAAAGUUAAGCUGGAUGUCGCUCGGUUAGUACCAAGGUUGGGGACAACUUGGGAAUCCCGGGUGCUGUAGUUG